AGACACAGACGUCAUUCUCAUGUGCUUCUCCAUCGAUAACCUGGACAGCUUAGGUUAUGAAUCCAAAAUACCCCUUGUGUUGCCUAUCUAUCAUUGAAAAUGUUUUUAUUUAUCCAAAUCUAGAAAUUUGUAAAAUGCGACCACGAAGGGACUCGAACCCUCAAUCUUCUGAUUCGAAGUCAGACGCCUUAUCCAUUAGGCCACGCGGUCAUAUAGAUUACCACACUGUUUGUUCAUUAUUUUUAAUAUUAACAUUAGUUGCUUCGAUUUUGGUUUUGUUACGAUUGUUCUCGGCAGCACUUAAUACACAGUGGAUAGAAAUGCCGGCUAAAUGGCCAAAUGUAAAUAAUGCUGUAAAUCUUAACUAUUGGCUAACUGACGUUGGCGUACCUUCCGGUCGGCUCUCAGAGAACAUCCCUGAGAAGUGGACCCCAGAGGUGAAACACUUCUGCCCCAACGUUCCCAUCAUCCUGGUCGGCAACAAGAAGGACCUGCACAACGACGAGCAGGAGCUGGCCAAGAGGAAGCAGGUUGUCCAGGCGGCCGGCGUACGUCUGCUUGGUGGCGGAGCGGCGGGCCAGCCACAUCCUGAGCCCCCCGUCGGCGCUCCGGCAGAACCCGUUGAUGUGGACGCCGUACCUCCUCACCCCAAACAGGCCUGCUCAGAACCAGGGCCGGGAUCAGAACCAGGGCCGGGAUCAGAACCAGGGCCGGGAUCAGAACCAGGGCCGGGAUCAGAACCAGGGCUGGGAUCAGAACCCAGCUCAGAACCAGGGCCGGGAUCAGAACCAGGGCCGGGAUCAGAACCCAGCUCAGAACCCCAGCAGGCUCAGACUGGAUAACGCUGGGCUGGGAUCAGGCUAGAUGAGGUGAUCACCAUCACCACAUCUACAUACUGCCCUGCCCGUUCUAAACUUUCUCAGGAGUCUAAUUGUUCAAAUUUCAACUGGACUUACUGGUUGCUGAUCGCUCCAUAGACAUCAGUGGGGCGUCGCAGUAUCUGGCCAUGACGUCAUACCUCUGACGGGGGUUAGACAUUAAGUUAUGUUGAAUGCCUCCAUAACUGCGUCAAUAUGAUUGCAUGAGGCUGUGGAGGAAGCGUGUCUAGUUAGUCACUCACCUCAUCCCUCCAUCCCUUCAAACAUGUCAGCGCGUCGCUGCGUCUCAGGCUCUGCAGGACGCGGUCGACUUCCUCUGACCUCUUGGAGUGAGUGUCCAGCCUCGAGCUGAGGGAAAGGGCGCCGUCGUUGGGCGGAUCGAAGACGUCUGGGAAGUUCCUCAAAAUGGCGGCCAUUUGAGGGAGGAUCCAACCGACCUGUUGGUCCGCCACCAUGAAGCGCAGACAUCUGGCGCGGCAGGACCCUGGCAGGACCGGGACUAGUAAUUAGCUGAUUUAUCGCCCAUUAUUUACAAUCAAGACAAUGAAAUAACCACAGUAUACCAGCAUGGUACAAAAUAGUGGAAAUAAAAGCAUAAAAACCUCAA